UACGGGGGGGGCAAGCGUUGUUCGGAAUUACUGGGCGUAAAGGGCUCGUAGGUGGCCAACUAAGUCAGACGUGAAAUCCCUCGGCUUAACCGGGGAACUGCGUCUGAUACUGGAUGGCUUGAGUUUGGGAGAGGGAUGCGGAAUUCCAGGUGUAGCGGUGAAAUGCGUAGAUAUCAGGAGGAACACCGGUGGCGAAGGCGGUUCUCUGGGCCUGUCCUGACGCUCAGGCGCGAAAGCUAGGGGGAGCGAACAGG
rnacentral:rRNA from 1 species